GAGGAGUGGCAGAGUGGUUGAAUGCACCGGUCUUGAAAACCGACAGGCGGUUCUAACCCGCCUCGAGGGUUCGAAUCCCUCCUCCUCC
rnacentral:tRNA from 1 species